rnacentral:rRNA from 1 species
CCCGCUGAACUUAAGCAUAUCAAUAAGCGGAGGAAAAGAAACUAACAAGGAUUCCCCUAGUAGCGGCGAGUGAAGCGGGAUGAGCUCAAAUUUAAAAUCUGGCUGGUUUACUAGUCCGAAUUGUAGUUUAUAGAAGCGUUUUCGGUGGCAGCCUGGGUAUAAAUCCUUUGGAAUAGGGUAUCAUAGAGGGUGAGAAUCCCGUCUUUGACUCAGUGCAUGCUACUAUGUGAUACGUUUUCAAAGAGUCGAGUUGUUUGGGAAUGCAGCUCAAAAUGGGUGGUAAAUUUCAUCUAAGGCUAAAUAUUGGCGAGAGACCGAUAGCGAACAAGUACCGUGAGGGAAAGAUGAAAAGAACUUUGAAAAGAGAGUUAAACAGUGCGUGAAAUUGUUGAAAGGGAAACGUUUGACACCAGUUAUGCGGGUGGAAAAUCAGUCUUUUGCAGUGGGGAGUUGUGGGCGUUCAGACCGCAAGGCUGGCGUUUGCUUCAUCUUUGUUGUAAGUGAUGCACUUUUUCAUUUGCAGGUCAACAUCAGUUUGCUUUGCUGGACAAAACCCCAAGGGAAGGUGGCAGCUUAGGCUGUGUUAUAGCCCUGGGGCGAUACAGUGGAGUGGACUGAGGUUUCGCAGUGUGUGCUCUCGGGCAAGGCUGACUGGGUGCUAUGGGAUCGUUCGGGGUACAAUGCCUGGCAUUUUGCUUCGUGUCUUUUCUAUACUCGCUCAACUCAGCUCUUCCACGCUUAGGAUGUUGACUUAAUGGUUUUAAACGACCCGUCUUGAAACACGG